rnacentral:rRNA from 1 species
CAGCCGCCACGGUAAUACGAAGGGGGCUAGCGUUGCUCGGAAUUACUGGGCGUAAAGGGAGCGUAGGCGGACAUUUAAGUCAGGGGUGAAAUCCCGGGGCUCAACCUCGGAAUUGCCUUUGAUACUGGGUGUCUAGAGUGUGAGAGAGGGUUGUGGAAUUCCCAGUGUAGAGGUGAAAUUCGUAGAUAUUGGGAAGAACACCGGUGGCGAAGGCGGCAACCUGGCCCAUUACUGACGCUGAGGCGCGAAAGCGUGGGGAGCAAACAGGAUUAGAUACCCGUGUAGUCCCUGUCUCUUAUAC